GACGAACGCUGGCGGCGUGCUUAACACAUGCAAGUCGAACGGAAAGGCCCUGCUUUUGUGGGGUGCUCGAGUGGCGAACGGGUGAGUAACACGUGAGUAACCUGCCCUUGACUUUGGGAUAACUUCAGGAAACUGGGGCUAAUACCGGAUAGGAGCUCCUGCUGCAUGGUGGGGGUUGGAAAGUUUCGGCGGUUGGGGAUGGACUCGCGGCUUAUCAGCUUGUUGGUGGGGUAGUGGCUUACCAAGGCUUUGACGGGUAGCCGGCCUGAGAGGGUGACCGGCCACAUUGGGACUGAGAUACGGCCCCGCCUACUACGGGAGGCAGCAGUGGGGAAUAUUGCACCAUGGGCGGAAGCCUGAUGCGGCAACGCCGCGUGCGGGAUGACGGACUUCGGGUUGUAAACCGCUUUCGCCUGUGACGAAGCGUGAGUGACGGUAAUGGGUAAAGAAGCACCGGCUAACUACGUG
rnacentral:rRNA from 1 species